AAGAGGGAACAGAGGCAGAGAAUAACCUAACAGUUACUUGUUCAGUGUCUACUAGUUAACCAUCAGAGUAGAGAUGGGAACCCAGGCAGUUUGAUUCCAGAGCCCGCCCUCUGCUUUAUGAUAUUGCCUUUCAGGACAUUAACAGGCUAAGGUGACUGGCUGUGCAUCUGCUGGGCCCAGUGCCUCUUCUUCCUAUGGCCUGGUUCAUCCUUCUGCCCCUUCCUGCAGACUGGUUUUUUUGCUUACCCAUAACUGCCUGGUUCUCCGGACACUAAACCUUGCGUGGGGCUUUUCACCGGCUGUGGUGCUCACUGCAGCUGGAGUGGGCAAGGCUCUUCAGUGUAAAUGCCCACCGUCAAGUCUCUGUCCCAGCUCCACAUUUCCAUGAGGAAGAAUCAAGCUGCUGCAGUCUGGCCAACCCAAUAGAGUUAGAGAAUCUGGGAAUCUACCCCUCAUCUGUUCAGCAGCCGCCAGAGGAGAAGGGGCACGUGGUAUAAAAAUGUCUUUUUAACCUGAUCGCCCUUUAACCAUGGCCUUGGUAGAGGUCUGUUUUGAAUAAGGUCAGUUUGCAGGGCAAACUUCUGAACAUUUGUCUCCUCCUUCGUAGCCCUAAAAGACAACUUCACAUGUUGGUAAGCAUGUUCUAUGAAAGAUAACAAUGAUAGGCGGCCUGCUUGAUAGUAUUGGUCAAUUUUCCUGGUAUAAAUAUUCCCGCCAUGGCUGAUUUCAAGCUACCAGCGUGAUGAUGGAGUUGGGAAGCAAUGCCUCAACUGGCUUGGCUCUGAUAUGACCUGGUCCUGGCACACCAGUGCUCCUAUCCAUAUAUGCGCUAGAGGCAGGGAAGCUUCCACAGUGAGUGCAUGUCUCCAGGGAGUUUGAAACCUAGGCUUAAUGGG